GCUAAGCAGGGAAGAUAAGGGAGAGGGAGAAGAGAAAAGUGCGACCGCCUUCGUCAAGAGCCAAAGAGAAAUAUCUCACUUACAGCACUGGUGAGUGGGAGUGGGAAGGUCUUCCUAAACACCUGCUCCUGCAGUCUGCCCGGGCUGGCAGCACCCAGCAGAAGCAUUGAUAGGUGUCCUGUUCCUGCAGAUGAGCAGACUGACAUGACGUGUGCAUCAUCUACAGGUUGAGACGUGUGGUCUUCAGCACUCGUGGAGGCGGUGGAUGACCCAGAUCUCCUUCCUCUGGGUCCUGGGGGGCUUUGUUGUGGCUUCUUACCCUCUUUACAACCUGUUAAAUCUGGCACAUUACACAUGGAAACCAAAGAAAGUGGACUGAGCCGGCGGUGAGGAGACCCCCCAGUGUUUACCUCUCCUCAGCUGAUGAAACACUCCUUAAACACUCCUGCACCGCAGCAAUUUCCUAAUGUUGUAAACCUCAACAUCUGGCAAUAAACCCCAUUCUGAUUCUGAUUCUGAUUAAGCAGCUUCCCAGGUCAACGCGUCACUGUUAGCGGCUGCUCUCCUCCAUGAUGCUCUGGUGAUGUUGGCUUGGUUAUAUUUUAGUGAACCGGAAAAGACAAGACCCCCGAGGAUAUGUUCAUCUUUAGAGCAACAUGCGCUGCCUCUGAACGCUCCACGGAGCAGCUUCUUCAGGAGGGUUUCUCCAUCGAUUUUAACGCAUUCAAGAAGACAAAGAAGAAGCCGAAGAGAUAAACUACACGUCUUAUCAAUGAGAUAAUUUACUAUUUCCCGCCAUAGGACUGUGACUUCUCUUCCACAGGUAUUGAAAGUGAAUACUUGCUGACUGGUCGAUCGCGUCUGUCGUCCCGUAUCCAUGCUGAUGAUCAGAAUAAUCUGAAUCACUGCUGCAAACUCUUCAGUGCUCGAUGGUGAAAUGAAGGAAGCUGCAGGCUGUCUGUGCCUCUCUGUUACUCGCAGCGAUGUUAUGUUCCCUCAGCUGUGCUCCCGCCUUCUUUUAAGCGUUCUUCUUCUGCAGCUUUUAUUUGUGGUUGGCAAACAAAACAAUGGUUUAUUACUGCCACCCACUGGUGUGCAGUGUGGACUCAAAAAGACAAAGUCAGACCAAACAAAGGCGUCUGUAUUAAAAGUGACCUGAUGGCUUUCACUGCCUCAGUUCCUUUAAAGUAGAUCACAAAGCUUCAUUUUCACGUCAGUCACUGUGAUACAACCUGUUCUAUGAUCUCAUCUCCCUCAUCAUCUCCACCAGUUACUAUUUCCUCAGUGGUGUUUUCCUUUUGUGAAUAAUCUGUCCAGGUCUGAGUGCUGACGUCUCCUGUCUCAGUGACAGAGAUGAAGGCCAUAAGUAGGCAGAAAAUGUAGGAACGGGAGGAAGAACGGGAAGGAUGGCGGUUUUACAAAAUCCAAAGAAAACCGGAGAAACGAGGAAGGAAGAGGAGACAGUCAUAUUAGCCUUGGACACUGCUUCAAAUGGCAGCACUGCACCAUUUCAUCAUUUGCCAACUGCCAAUAAAAUAAGCAGUUGUGUUGUGUGGUGACACAACUGUCAUGUGAGUAACAGAAGCACAGAAACCCUGCAGCUCAUACCCAACAGAGAAAGGUGCUGUGUUUGCUGAGAGGCUUAUAAAAGUAUUCACUUUCAAGGAGAUGAUGACUUUGGCAGCAGCUGGAAGAAGGAAAAACAAAACUUUGGUGUGAUCUCAGCAUAUGUAACAACAACAACAAACUUUAUUUAUAGAGCACAUUUACAAACCAGUGGUGCACCAAAGUGCUUAACAUGCAAGAGGGUAAGAUGAAGUAACGGGAAGGAUGAAGCUGUGGCAAAGUACCAAAACAUGCUAGCAGGUAGAAUGGCAUUAAAUAACAUUGAUUCAUGUUUGUGGCUGUAAUGUGACAAAAUGUCAUGGUCCUGGGUCGAGCGACCCAGUGUUUGAGUUUCAUGUAUCUUUUGUAUUCAUUUGCACCAGCUUAGUUCACCUAGUUAAUUUCUAGAUUGCUGUUUAGUCUUGUUGUCUCCCCCUGUACUAAGUCUCCCUGGUUCAUGCGUCAUGUCUGCGUGGUUAUAU